AGUAUACAAAAUAACUUAUUUUGUAGCCACUUUAAGUUACGAUAAUUACGUACAAGAUUAUAGUAACUUCUUACUAAGUGGUUUACUAUAACAUUACGGUAAAUAUACCAUGUAUUAUAGUCACCUAACUAUCGUAAAUAUAUAUACAUAUUAUCGUAAAUUAGUAUAUAAAAUUAUCGUAAAUGGAGAUGACUACAGAAUCACAUAUUUUGUAGCU
rnacentral:pre_miRNA from 1 species